rnacentral:rRNA from 1 species
UACGGAGGGGGCUAGCGUUGUUCGGAAUUACUGGGCGUAAAGCGUACGUAGGCGGCUUUGUAAGUUAGAGGUGAAAGCCCCCGGCUCAACUGGGGAGGGUCACGCGAUACUGAUCGACUCGAAGGCAGGAGAGGGUAGUGGAAUUCCCGGUGUAGUGGUGAAAUGCGUAGAUAUCGGGAGGAACACCAGUGGCGAAGGCGACUACCUGGCCUGUUCUUGACGCUGAGGCGCGAAAGCUAGGGGAGCAAACGGG